rnacentral:rRNA from 1 species
GCGACGCCGCGUGAGGGAUGACGGCCUUCGGGUUGUAAACCUCUUUCAGUAGGGAAGAAGCGAAAGUGACGGUACCUGCAGAAGAAGCGCCGGCUAACUACGUGCCAGCAGCCGCGGUAAUACGUAGGGCGCAAGCGUUAUCCGGAAUUAUUGGGCGUAAAGAGCUCGUAGGCGGUUUGUCGCGUCUGCCGUGAAAGUCCGGGGCUCAACUCCGGAUCUGCGGUGGGUACGGGCAGACUAGAGUGAUGUAGGGGAGACUGGAAUUCCUGGUGUAGCGGUGAAAUGCGCAGAUAUCAGGAGGAACACCGAUGGCGAAGGCAGGUCUCUGGGCAUUAACUGACGCUGAGGAGCGAAAGCAUGGGGAGCGAACAGGAUUAGAUACCCUGGUAGUCCAUGCCGUAAACGUUGGGCACUAGGUGUGGGGGACAUUCCACGUUUUCCGCGCCGUAGCUAACGCAUUAAGUGCCCCGCCUGGGGAGUACGGCCGCAAGGCUAAAACUCAAAGGAAUUGACGGGGGCCCGCACAAGCGGCGGAGCAUGCGGAUUAAUUCGAUGCAACGCGAAGAACCUUACCAAGGCUUGACAUGGACCGGACCGGGCUGGAAACAGUCCUUCCCCUUUGGGGCCGGUUCACAGGUGGUGCAUGGUUGUCGUCAGCUCGUGUCGUGAGAUGUUGGGUUAAGUCCCGCAACGAGCGCAACCCUCGUUCCAUGUUGCCAGCGCGUAAUGGCGGGGACUCAUGGGAGACUGCCGGGGUCAACUCGGAGGAAGGUGGGGACGACGUCAAAUCAUCAUGCCCCUUAUGUCUUGGGCUUCACGCAUGCUACAAUGGCCGGUACAAAGGGUUGCGAUACUGUGAGGUGGAGCUAAUCCCAAAAAGCCGGUCUCAGUUCGGAUUGGGGUCUGCAACUCGACCCCAUGAAGUCGGAGUCGCUAGUAUCGCAGAUCAGCAACGCUGCGGUGAUACGUUCCGGGUCUUGUACGACACCGCCCGUCAGUCA